rnacentral:rRNA from 1 species
GACGAACGCUGGCGGCGUGCUUAACACAUGCAAGUCGAACGGUAAGGCCCUGCCUUUGUGGGGUGCUCGAGUGGCGAACGGGUGAGUAACACGUGAGUAACCUGCCCUUGACUUUGGGAUAACUUCAGGAAACUGGGGCUAAUACCGGAUAGGAGCUCCUGCUGCAUGGUGGGGGUUGGAAAGUUUCGGCGGUUGGGGAUGGACUCGCGGCUUAUCAGCUUGUUGGUGGGGUAGUGGCUUACCAAGGCUUUGACGGGUAGCCGGCCUGAGAGGGUGACCGGCCACAUUGGGACUGAGAUACGGCCCAGACUCCUACGGGAGGCAGCAGUGGGGAAUAUUGCACAAUGGGCGGAAGCCUGAUGCAGCAACGCCGCGUGCGGGAUGACGGCCUUCGGGUUGUAAACCGCUUUCGCCUGUGACGAAGCGAGAGUGACGGUAAUGGGUAAAGAAGCACCGGCUAACUACGUG